rnacentral:rRNA from 1 species
GUCGUAACAAGGUUUCCGUAGGUGAACCUGCGGAAGGAUCAUUACCGAAUUGUUGACACGAGUUGUUGCUGGUCCUCAAACGGGGACAUGUGCACGCUCUGUUUACACAUCCACUCACACCUGUGCACCUUCUGUAGUUCUGUGGCAUGGGGGGCUCUGUCCUCCUGCUGUGGUCCUACGUCUUUACACACACUCUGUAACAAAGUCUCAUGGAAUGCAUGACGCGUUUAACGCAAUACAAUACAACUUUCAGCAACGGAUCUCUUGGCUCUCGCAUCGAUGAAGAACGCAGCGAAAUGCGAUAAGUAAUGUGAAUUGCAGAAUUCAGUGAAUCAUCGAAUCUUUGAACGCACCUUGCGCCCUUUGGCUAUUCCGAAGGGCAUGCCUGUUUGAGUAUCAUGAACACCUCAACUCUCGUGGUUUGCCAUGAUGAGUUUGGACUUUGGGGGUCUUGCUGGCUGCGGUCAGCUCCUCUCGAAUAGAUCAGCUUGCCAGUGUUUGGUGGCAUCACAGGUGUGAUAACUAUCUACGCUUGUGGUUUUCUACCAAAUAACCUUCAGUGAUGGAGGUUCGCUGGAGCUAAUAAAUGUCUCUCCUCAGUGAGGACAGCUUUUCAAAUGUUUGAUCUCAAAUCAGGUAGGACUACCCGCUGAACUUAAGCAUA